rnacentral:rRNA from 1 species
CAACCUCUGGUGCACCAGUUGUUCCGCCAGGAGCACAGCUGGGUAGCUAUGUUGGGAAGGGAUAAACGCUGAAAGCAUCUAAGCGUGAAGCCCACCUCAAGAUUAGAUUUCCCAUAGCGUAAGCUAGUAAGACCCCUGAAAGACUAUCAGGUUGAUAGGUUGGAGGUGUAAGUACAGUAAUGUAUUCAGCUGACCAAUACUAAUAGGUCGAGGGCUUGAUCAAAUAU